rnacentral:lncRNA from 1 species
UCAUAUUGCUUCCGUGCAACUGCUGCAAAACGCUUAAAGGUGGGCACCACAUGGAUAGCAUUUUAUGACAAGCUAUUGAAUCUCCUCAAAAUAUUGAAUAUAUUAGAAUGUGUAUACCUCCUUUUUUUGGUUUCUUUACAACAUUUCCCUACAAUCCAUUGUUCAUUUUGAAGCAGCUUGUUUAUAUUAGUUACAUGACUCAGUCCGGCACUUUGUACAAGGAACUGAAUUAAGUGGUUGGUUUGUGAAAUUUCCAUUUUGUCAAGGGAAGGGUUUCUAUUUUCUUAUCCGCAUAUAGUUGUCAUUGUGGAACUUCUAUUAUACAUUUUUUUUUAAUCUUGACUAUUUUUUAUUUUAUUUUAUUUGGAACAUGGGAAUUUUUUUAAAUCUUUAUUCCUCUCUCCUUACAAAAAAAAAAAAAAAACUCUUUGUUUUAUGACCUUCAACUAUGAUAAGGUUGGCGUUCAAUGUACAACCAAACAUUUUGGAUUCCCAUUUGAAAGAUUAUGAUCUCCGCAAGAAUCUAUGGAGGAAUUGAAGAAGCAGACAGUUGCAUCUUGAAGCGCUCAUGAUGACGAUUAAAGCAUAGGGAGCAGAGCAGGAACCAGUUCAGGAAUCAAAAUCCAGUUCUUCGGGCGAUGGCUUGAUUCCCACACCAUGAACAGAUGGUGAGAAUCCUUCGUCCUUACCUGAAUCCACCAGGUCUGCUUAUAAUGUUGCUAUACCUAGGAUUAAUCUUCAAUUCUUUAAUGGUGAAAGUCCUAGAGUGGAUAUGUAAGUGCAAGAAAAAAUUGAAGAUGAAUUUGAUUUCUGUUAAUUAAUAUGUAGAGAUUGCUUCUAUGUAUUUAGAGGGAAAGGCUGAAAUUUGGUUUUGAGGAUUUGUUGUAGGGAGUGAUGUUGGAAAUUGGGAGGAGAUUGUGAGUGAGAUAUGUAGAAGGUUUGGUAGCAGAAAUGAUAUGGCAGAGAAGUUUUAACAAACUGGCACAGGAGAAGGAUGUUGAAGAUUUUAUAAAAAAGUUUGAAGAACUUAAUCCUUACAUAUCAAAGGCUUAUUUCAUCUCUAGUUUUAUAAGUGGACUCAAAGAGCUUAAAAUCUUGAAACCUACUUUAAAUCAAGUCUUUGAUUUCUAAAUGGCAGGAAGAGUAUUUUUUUUCCAUGGCUGGAAAGAAUAAGUUUGUUUCGGGUAUGGGAGAUGAAUGCAAUGAAAGCACGGGAAGAGGGAAAUGAUGUGUUUGGUGACGUGGAUGAGGGAAAUGGAGAUGGCGACUUAGUUGAUUCUGGUAUGAUGAUGGGGGAUAUUGUUUGAUUUUGUUAAGAUGAAUCUUUCUUUUAAGAAAGAAAGAAGAAUGAUUGAGUUGAAGGGCAUUUCUGAUGAGGUGAAAUUACAAAUGAUGUCAGUAGGUAAGGUUUCCAAGAACCUUACAGACAAGAUUUGUAUAUUUUGAGCUCAAAUUUUCUUAAUCAUAAGCCAUGAGGAGUCUGUUAUCAAAGCCUGUCAUCAUCAUCAUGAGAUUUGUGCUUUGUUAGCUGAAUAAAUUGAUGUGUUUGCUAAACAUACUCAGCUGCCUCCUGCUAGGAAACAUAAUCAUGGAAUUCAAUUGUUAUUAGAUGUCAAACCUGUGAAUGCAAGACCAUAUAGUCUCGAAGGAUGAGAUUGAGAGGUUGGCGGCUAACUAUCAUUUGAGAAUGCAGUUGAAAUUAUAUAUUAAAAAAUAAUAUAAAUUAUAUCUUGAAAUUUUAUUUAAUAGUUUAAGUUAUUGUGUAUAAUUGGUUAUUUAACAUGGUAUUAUAAAGUUUUGAUAACUAAGCGGUUAUAAAUUUAAAUUUUAUUAUUUUUAUUUAUUUAAUAAAAAAUAAGCAUACGGUAAGAUGAGUAUGGAAGUUUCAAAUCUAAUAAGUUUUUAUUUAAGGGGAUAUAUUAAAAAAUAAUUUUAAUUAUAUAUUAAAAAAUGAUAGGACAAAACCAAUAUGAGAUAUUUUCAAACUUAACCUCACCUGAAGUUACUUUAUCAUUGCCAUCCUACCGAGAGUGCUUGCUUUUAUUACCUUAUCCUUUGACGCAUUCACGAAUCAUUAUCCGUUGCGAAUGAUGUUUGGCCAAGUUAAGAAUCUGGACAAAGGUGGCAAUGAACUGUGAUUUUGGCAGUUUGUGUCAAUUAUUUCGAGCUGCGGAUCUUAGGAUUCAAAGUUGGAGGAGGGGUGUGGGGUUUUUUUUUUUUUUUUUAAUUGUGGUGGUGAUUAUUUUUUAUUUUUUUUAAAAUAUUUUUAAUAUAAACAUAUUAAAAUAAUUUAAAAAUAUUAAAAAAUAUAAUUUAAAGUAAAACUAAAAACAAACAGUGCCACAAAUGUCCUCCGAAUCCUUUUAUUGAAGAUAGAAAGCAUAUGCUGUAUCCACGUAAUGAAUCUGAGUUUGAAGCUAGCUCAAGGAUUAAAAAAAAAUGUCAGCACCGAGUUGAGAAUAGCAUAGUCAUUCAGAACGUAAUUUUAAACAUGCUAUUCUCAUAUAAGAAGGGGAAAAAAACAUAUCAGGCACGUUGUCAAUUUCUUUCUUUCUUUCUCACUUGAAACGGAGAGCAUCCAUGUCACUGAAAUUCGCACCCUACAUUUAUGAUGAUUUUGGUGUGUUUGUGAAUAUUGUAGUGGUUAUUUUUUAAAAUAUUUUUUAUUGUAUUAAAAUAUAAUUUUUAUUUUUAAAAAAUUAUAUUUGAUAUUAAUAUAUAAAAAAUAUAAAAAAAAAAUUUAAACAAAAAAAUUAAGUUUUUAUAGAACUCUAUCUAGAGCAGUGUUCCCAAAUGGCCCAUUUAGUAUCAAAUUGAAUUGAUAGUGAUAACAAGGAAAAGAACAAUUUGGUGUCUAAUCCAAGUGAACGUUAUUGAUGGCCAUUCAACUAGACAGUGUAUUGAAAUGUGGUUGGCUACGUGUUAAAAAAUAAUAAUUUUAAUUAUUUUUUUAAAUUAUAUUUUUAUAUUUAUAAAUUAUUUUAACAUGUUGAUAUCAAAAAUAAAAUUUUUAAAUAAAAAAAUAUUAUUUAUAUAUAUUUUUAAAUAAAAAGUACUUUAAAAAGUUAAUACAAUUCUACAUAUUAAAAACCGAUAAGAAACCAUUCUAAACACACUAAAAACCGAUAAGAAAGAUUACAAAUGAAAUACCUUUAAAACAUUUUAAAUUUGCAGGAGCUCCUUUUGUUAGGGAUGAUCAUUUUUUAUUCGGUUCGGUUUUUUCCAAAAAAACCAAAACAAAAUAAAAACUAAAACCGAACCGAAACCAGCCCCAAAAUCGAAAAAACCUAUAUGCGAAUUUUUGAUGCCCAAUUUCCUCAUUAGUUACUUGCAUCACGACUGUUGGUCUAUAACUUCCUGUUAACUCAAUUAUAGUGUGGUCCAUGGAUUGUUUAACCCCAACAGAUCUCAUAGAAGAUGUAAAGCAGGAUUUUGGCCCUAAAAACUAGAGACAAAACAAAAUAAUCAGAUCUGUUUGCACCUUAACGAAAUAAAAAAGAAAAAGAAGAAGAAAGGUAAAAGAUAAUAUCAAUAAAAAACUCACAACUCACCUUUGUAAUAUAAUCUAGAAUUGCUUCAUCAGAAAUCUUGUUUCCAUCACCUCAUCAACAAAAACCCAUUACCCAAAAACAAAAGGAAAGGAGAGGAAAUUGAUGCCUACCCAUUGAUGCUUCUGUGAGAACUUGUCUGAUAGGCUAAAAUAUUUUGAAGGGGUGAGAGGGAGGGGUGAGAAGUACUGGGGCAGGUGCUCUAGUUAGGGACCUUUUUUUUUAGCCUCUGGUUGUUUGUUAGGAUUAGGCGAGAAGGGGGCAAAAGUUUCCAUUUACACCAGUGGUGGUUAGGGACCUUUUUUUUUAACCGGUUUGGUCCGGUUCGGGUUAACAGAUUUCUGCAUUACAAAACCGGUCCAGAUUUUUUCUAAAUAUUUUAAUUCAUUUUUUUCUCGGUUUGGUUUUUCCGGUUAAUUUUUUGUCGGUUUUGUCGGUUUAUCGGUUUUUUUGAACACCCCUACCUUUUGUUUCCAUUCCUAAACAACUAUUUUUCAUCGUGAAAUUCAAUAAAAAUAAAUAAAUCUAAGCAACACAUAUCUAAACAUAAAUCAAUCUCCCUGUAGUUUUGAAAUCCGACUCGAUGGUUGACCCGAUCUAAUGAUCGGGUCACGGGUCAAAUGGGUUGAUCAGGGUCAACAAAAAAAAAACAAUACAACACUUAUAGAAAACACCUAAUUAGUUACAAUACAACACUUAUAUAAACCAAAUUUAAAUUUUAAACCAACAAUAUAAAUUUAAUUCAAUAUCCAAAACAUAAACCAAAUAUAAAUUCUAAAAUAUUUAAAACAAAACAUUCAACAACAUAAAUUCAUGAUUGCCAUAAUUUAUAAAAAGGAAUAUAAUUUCAAGCCGAAUCAUAUACUUUUAUUAUAUAUUCAGUCUCUAUAAUUACCCCAUGAUUCAUGAUUGCCAUAUCCAAAAGCUGCCUGAUAUCCAAAUAUGCAAUGUGCACCAAUUAUCAUACUAAUGCAUAGACACAAAAUGCAAAGCAGCAACUAUGCAUCUAUAAGCAAUUCACUAAAAUGAGGAUGAUGAUUCCAUAUGAAAUGAUAUCACCAUAUAAACAACUAGAGAGGAAGAAGAUUUAAGAAUACUUUUUGAAUGCUGGCAGAAGAUACGAUGGAACAGUUUCAAAAAUAAAUUAAGGCUAAAAGAACUGAAGAAAAAAAUGUAAAAUGAAGCAACCGUACAAAUAUUAUAACCAAUCAAGGCACAAGAUGAGUAGUAUCCAAGCAUCUUAAACAUUGUAGCUCCCACAAAAUUCAAAUCAAUCGAGAAAAACCCCUAACAAGUUUUUGAAUUUCAACAUGAAUUAGCAUCAUAUAAAAAAUUGUCAAAGAAUGCAGAAUCAAGUCAAUUAGUCAUUAGGGUACAUACCUACAAGUUCUUUGUUCACAAAAACAAGUGUUGCAUGCCCCAAACUAUCAAUGUUCAAAAUGUUCAAUUUCAAAAGGAAUAGAUAUAAGUUUAACUGAUAAUUGAAGUUUGCCAGGUUACCAGGAUGUCAUCAAUUAUUAGUACACACAAGAACUAACAACAUUAUAGAAAAGAACAUAAAAAACCUUAAUCAAUAUUAUAUAUACACACACACACACACACACACACUAAACUAGGAUAAUUAAUUUAUGUUUUUAAUCAACAUUACAAAUUCGCUACUUUUUAGCCAAACCUCACUACAGAUCAAAGCCAACAAUAGAAAUCCAUGUGAAAAUAAAAUAAACCACAUUAAUAGAAAUGAACACAAACCUCCUCUUGAUGCCACUAUUUCGAAGAAUGGAAGAUAGUAAUCUUUUCUCAUCUCUCUCACUAUAUCUCCCCCCCUCGUAGAGAUUAUGUCCAGAACCAAGUUUCUUGAUUUAGGUGUUCAUAAAUUUUGUAACUUAACAAGUUUCUUGAUCCAGGUGUUUUUAAGAAAUCCUACUUGUCCUUAAAAAACAAGAAUACAAUUGAAAUAAUUCACCAUUAUCUUUAUCCAAGAUGAUUUAACCCUGUCAAUUUACUCAAAGAUGUGCAUGUAAAAACCUUAAAUAAAGACGUGCAAAAAAAAAAAAAACAGAGAAACAUACUUGUGGGUGUGAACUGCGAAUGAAUCGAUGCAGAGAUUAAGAACAACAAGUUCAAAAAAGGAAAAGAAUAAAGAAAAGAGAGAGUUAAAGAAGAAGAUUCCUGAAGAGAAACAAAAGUCUAACCUUAUUAAAAUCGCUUUUUCUUUAUUGAUCAAGAGUCUUCUGCUUCUCUGCUCUUCGUGAUUGAAAUUGCUUUUUCUUUAAUUAGGUUUUCUCUCUGUUUGCAAUUCUGCUCUUCGUCUUCAUCGUUUUGGCUUUUUAAAAGGCUAAAAUGACAUCGUUUCACGUCUCAAUAUAUAUAUAUAUAUAAAGGCCGGGUCUCGGCCGAGUUUACUCGGGUCGCCCGGGUUUCGAGUCGACUUGCUAGGUCGAUCGAGUUUUGCCGGGCCAACUCCCCUGCGAGUUUUUACUUAGACCCGGAUCGAUCCCAGGCCCGAAUCAACCGAGUCACGGGUCAAACUGUCGGGUCGGUUUAAAUUUCAAAACUAUGAAUCUCUCGUAAAAAAUAUUGCAAAUGAAAUUGCAAGAAUAAUAAUAAUUAAAAAAAACAUGGCUUGUAAAUUUUAAGAGGCAAGCUCUUAUUGUUGUAGAAAAGUGGCAGCGUUACAAGGCUUAAGAGCACCCACCAUGACCUUGACUCAUCACUGACAAAAUAUUUUGGUAUACAAGUACACACACCACCCUAUUCAACUUCUACAGUGCUCACAAGUCCAUACAGAGCGAAGAUCAACAAUCAACAGAACCACCUUCCCCCACCAUCCCUCUCUCUCUCUCUCUCUCUCUUCCCCUGUCAUUUUUUCAACAAGAAAGAUAUAUGGGUUCUUUGACAUUUUGUGAAUUGUGGUGGAACAUGGCUAUAGGACCGACUUGCAAAAGUAGAAAAUGUUGUCGUUAAUAAUUCUACGGACUAUACCACCCCACCCGGCCCUUUGAUUUGAUUUCCUCUCUCUCUCUCUCAGCGCUUAUAAAAAUUGCAAGUUUCAAGGAAGGUUAGACAACAUGUAACUAUAGUAUAUGAUAAAAAAUUGCGAAAAAGCUCACACUAUUGGCUUUUUUUGCUCCCCCUUCAGCUUGGAUUUGAGUAGGAUUCAAUUCAAGUACUUUUCUUUUUUUGGGUCUCUCUCUUUCUAUUUUCGCUCUUUCUGUGAAAUGUUAUCAUCUUCCCUAUUGCAAUACUACUUUUGUUUUGUCAAAGUGAAAAGUCUGACGUGUUUUUUGUUUUUGCAGGAUUGGUUGCUGUUGAAGAGAUGAUGGAAAGUAUGGCUUUUUGUGUCAUGUGAUUCCUUUUUCGAUGAUUCUGUAUUCAUGGGAGUUGGUUUCUGUAACUGAUCCUGGAUUCAUCAGAUUCUAUUGUUUCUCCAGAUUCUUAAUUUGUUUCAGGUGAAGUUCUGUCUGAAACUUAUGUUUUACUGUUUUAACAUAGCAUAGACAGCUGUGCCAUGUAAUCUCUGUAUGAUUGCAAGAUGAGGUUGGAGAUCUUUAUCCAUAAAGAAUUGAAAUUUCUUUUUUCUGUUGAUAGUAUUGAUGCUGGGCGCGUUGGGGUGAGAUAUGAGGGACGAAUGAUUACAUCAUAUAUGAAUUUGGCUAAAACUUGUAAUCAUGGAGAGUGAUACUGCAUUACCUAUUUAUUGUCUUGAAUUCCCAUUUCUCUUGAUUGGAUUGAGGUCCUUUUCGUUUCCUUGAUCUAAUUGAUAUCUUUUUAUUCAUUUGGUGAGCUUAAUUAUAGUUCCUCUUUAGCUUGAUGCCUGCCAUGCUCGGUUGAAUUGCUGCCUCUGAAUUUUGAAAUUCGAAGGCAUCUGUGAAGUAUGCUCCAAGUUGCUACUAUCAUUUCAGACGCCUGCUCAUUACAAGCAUUUUAUUUACCCUGUUAAAUAAUAUUCAUUUAUUCAUCUCUUUGAUUGAUAUAUUCAUUCUCAACCAAUUGUUCUAAGAACUUGUAAUAAUUGUAUAUUGAAUAAUGAAUGAGUUUGUUGUAAGUAAUGUAUUAAAUACUUCAUUUCCUUUCUUAUCCCAAAUUCUUUGUGGCGCUCAUGAAUUAUUCAAAAGACCAAAAUUCACCAGCCUGCUACCAAAAAACCUAUUGCUAUAUGGAUUGGUGUACCAAGGUUCUUGAAGGUUCUAGCAGUAGAGGGCACUAUCCUGGGAGAUAUGGAGAAGAUAGGUAUUGGGAUGAGACUCGCCGACCAGUGGUAAUCACAGUCUUUGUACUUUUAUAAUUGUUCUCCUUUGCUUAUGCUUGUCCAUGGUAUGAUGCUAGCCUAGUCUUUCUGGCUGGAGCUGGUUGGUUGUAUAAAAAUUGUGUGAAAAGAUGGGAUGCUGUAAUCUUCUUGCAAAACUAUAUACUAGCACUUUUCUCUUAAAAGUUUGUUCUAAUUUUUUUUCCUGAGCUAACUGUAUGUCAUGGACAACUCGAGGCAGGAUGAUUUAUCGAAUUUUGACAAUGAAGAAAUUGAAUGUGCUAUUGCACUUUCCCUUUCCGAAGAAGAUCAAAACGGAAAAAAAGUAAUUGGUAAGUUGCAAAGCUUUUAGAAUUGAUUAGGUUGUUACUCCCAUUUUUUAUUUGAAAAGUUAUAUUGACUGUGCAACAUGACUGUUGACCCAAUGUUUCAAGCAGCUUUGUACAAGAUUUGAGAUAGAAGUACCAAAAUGAAGAGAAACAAAAUGGUUAUAGUUUAAUUAGGUUCUUUUUCAUACCAUAUUUUAUUUCGAUACCGGGCAAUAUAAACUGAAUUUCACAACAAUUCAUAUGAUGGUGUUUUGGUCAAUUAGGCCUACAGUUUACACAAAUAAAAAGAUUUCAUCACAGACAACAAAUCACUUUAAAGGUUUCAUAAAAAUGAUAAUAUAGUCCUCGUCAUCUUAAAUAACCGUGACUGGUUUCAUUCAUAAAAUUCAUAGUCAGCCAAGACAGAAAUAUUCAUCCUUUCAUAUGUAUAUACUGAUGAUAGAUUGUGUUAGUUAUGCACCCAUGCUGUUAUCCAGUUCAUUCUUUAAUUAUCAAGUUAAAAACUUUAUAUCAACCAGUGGAAGAAAAUGAGUCUGAACAGUCAGAGGAAUAUUACAAGCCCCACCAGCCACAGGAGGAUGUGACAGCUCAAUUGGAAGAAGAUGAGCAACUUGCCAAAGCUAUUCAAGAAAGUUUAAGGUUGGAGUCUCCUCCUCGAGCUCAAUAUGACAGUGGAAAUCUAGUUCCACCUUAUCCAUUUUCAUCUGGUUACAGGUAACUGUGGUCGUGUUAAACAGCCAUUUGUCUGCAUUCAAACAAUGUAACAUGCAUUCCAAUCAGAUUUCAAAAGGAUAAAUAUUUAUUCCUUCUCUUAAAAGAUCCUUUCAGUAAAGUGAUUGUUUUGUUGUCAUGGUAACCGAAGUGCAGUGACAUGAGAUGAAACACCAUUAAUUUACAGGAUCAACUUGUAGAAUAUUAUGUUGUCUCUAUUAUGUUAGCCAGGCAUUUGAGCUUGCAUCUUCUAUCAAAGAGACAAAAUGAAGUUAGUUAAGAAAACAUUGGGGGUGCUUUUUAUUCUUAUAACAUGGAAUUGCAUGUUAAUAUCUUUCAGAUACGAUGUCUCUUGCCUGUUCUUUAAAAUUGUUUCUGCAUAUCACAGUUCAGAGACACCACAUGGAAAAUCUGAUCUGAUUGUUGAAAAUUUAUUGCUCAUAGGAUCUGUGCCGGGUGCAACACUGAGAUUGGGCAUGGGCAGUUUUUGAGUUGCAAGGGCGGUGUUUGGCAUCCUGAUUGUUUUUGUUGCAAUGCUUGCAAUCUGCCAAUUACUGAUUAUGAGGUUUAAAUCUGAAUCUUAGUCUAGUGAAUUGAUACUUUUGUCUGGAAUUGAUGGCAGUGAUCAUGAGCUCUUAACUAAUGUCUUUUAUUUUGGUUGAGUAUCAAGAGAUUGGUGUAUGUUUACUAACCCUCAAAUUCAUUCUUGUAAUAGCUUUCAAUGUCUGGGAAUCGUCCGUAUCACAAAUCUUGUUAUAGGAAGCAGCAUGAUCCAAGAUGUGAUGUGUGCAACAAAUUUGUAAGUUUUUAUAUGACAGAAACACAACAAUACCUUGUGCUGGUUUAGUAUUGUGCUUGAAUACAUUCGAUUGGAUGAAGGCUUUGUUGAGUAGAUGAACAAUGAAGCUAAGCCAUUGCAAACCAGAUUAAGGUUGCAAUCUAACCGGACUAACUUCAUAAACCCUCAUUGCACCCAUCUUGUUAGCCAAAGAAGAUUCAGCUUUUGUUGGUAAAGUUGUUGAAGGGUGCCUUUUUUUGUCAAAAUUGAGCUGAUGCUGCUAAAUUCAGCAAUCCUUUCGCUCAACUAUUGGUGUGCUAGUUGUAUAUCCAAAAUAAAUAAAUGAUGAUUAGAGAGUCACUGGAAUUAUCUCUGAUAUUCUUUCUUUUGCUUCGUACUUUUUCAAACCGAGUAAUCACCUAAUAUUUUGUGCACCUCAUCUAGUGACGAAAUAGCCUGAUACCAGAUAUUUUUGUUGAAAAAAAAGAAUAGAGGUACGUUGAAUUUGGGUCUGUAAUGUAUAAAGAAUAAGUGAACAAAUUUUAAGGGGUCAAUUUAUGCCAUAUUGUUUUGCUUCUUUUGAGAUGGAACAAAAAUCAUCUCGACUUCAAUAAUCUGGGUUGGUGUGCUAGAUGCACGCAUUUCUUUUCCCAGGUAAUGAACAUUGAUAGUAAUAUCCUAGUAAUUUUGUGGUUUAGUAUUCUCCAGCUGCCAUUAAAACUCAAUUUGCCUGUCGUAUUAUUUAUGAGCGCAUUUUGUGUUAGCUUAUAAAGCUCAGAUAGGCUGACAGAUGCCUUGGCGUGUUGUGUCAUUGACCAACCUUGUGGGUAGUGUCAUUUAACCUUGGAUUUGCCAUGUGGCAUUGUGAUACAUUUUGCUGUCUGCUAAAGUAGCUGGCUACAGCAUAUUUCUUUAUUCUAACAUUUCUGGGAUAAUGGGAUUUACAAUAUGAUUUUUUCUCUAAUUUUAAUCAUAUAUCAUCUACAAUAAGCCAAAAAAAAAAAAAAGAGUGAAUUGACUACUAUUCCAUCAUAUUUCCUUGAUUCAUGUUGACCUUAAAAUCUUUCUUCCCAUUCCCUUUUGUACAGAUUCCUACAAAUUCAGCUGGGCUCAUUGAGUAUAGGGGUCAUCCUUUCUGGCUACAACAAUACUGUCUCUCACAUAAGCAUGAUAGGACUCCUUGUUGCUGUAGUUGUGAGAGAAUGGAGGUCAGUUGAAAGAAUUUGAAUCAACCUUUCUGCUGUCCAAAACCAAAGUGAAGGGAGGGGGAUAAAGAAGCUUAGAAAGAAAAUGUAAAUUGUGGUUUUCUGAAAAAUGGUUUGAAUUUUAUAAUAAUUUUUUUCCCAUGCCAUGCAGCCUAGGGACACUAGAUAUAUGUCGCUUGAUGAUGGCAGGAAGCUAUGUCUAGAGUGUCUAGACUCUGCAAUAAUGGAUACUCAUGAAUGCCAACCUCUUUACUUUGAAAUUCGAAAAUUUUAUGAAGGUUUAAAUAUGAAGGUCAAGCAGGAAAUUCCUCUACUUUUGGUUGAGAGACCAGCCCUGAAUGAGGCUAUGGAAGGAGAAAAGAAUGUAAGGCUGAUGCAUCGAGACCAUCAAUAAUUAAGCCUUUUGUUUUGUUAUAUUUUUUUAUGGUUUUAUUUUCAAUUUUUACAUUUUCGUGGUCAGGGUCAUCAUCACUCACCUGAAACCAGAGGACUCUGCUUGUCGGAAGAACAAACUGUUCCCACUGUAAUUUCUCGUCACAAGUCCUCCAUAAGCUAGUGUUUGGUUUCUUAAAGGUGUGUGUUUAUAGAUUGAAAUUGUAUAUUUAAUUGACCCCAAUUACCAGGUUUUGAGGAGGCCAAGGAUUGGGGCAGGAUACCGUUUCAUAGACAUAAGAACAGAGCCGUAUAGGCUAAGCCAUAGGUGUGAAGUAACUGCAAUUCUCAUUCUGUAUGGCCUUCCCAGGUACUAUCAUGUAUUUGUGUUGAUCACUCAUCAAAUUCAUCAUCAUUCAUGAUAUUUGAGAAUUUUCAAGUAUGCAUCCUUUACAUUCCAUACAUACAGGUUGUUGACGGGUUCAAUUUUGGCUCAUGAGAUGAUGCAUGCUUGGCUUCGACUUAACGGUUUGCCCAUCCUAUGACAUACAUGAUCUUGUCAAGUAUUUCCUUCGUUUUUAUUUAUUUACUUUCAUAUGGUCAGCUAAGAAGUACAAGUGUUGUCUUUGACAGGUUAUCCCAACCUACGUCCAGAGGUCGAAGAAGGCAUAUGCCAGGUCCUGGCUCAUAUGUGGCUAGAUUCUGAGAUAUAUUCUAUUUCAGGAGGUGAAGGUGCUUCGUCGUCGUCAUCAUCUUCACCAUCAUCAAAGAAAGGGCCGCGAUCUGACUUUGAGAAGAAACUUGGUGAGUUUUUCAAAGACCACAUCGAGUCAGAUACAUUGCCAGCUUAUGGAGAAGGUUUCAGGAUAGGUAACCAGGCAGUGCUGAAAUAUGGCCUCAGGACAACCCUUGACCAUAUUCAGAUGACAGGAACCUUUCCUGUCUGAUCUACUGAUUGAUAGUUAUAGCAAUAAUUGGUAUUUUCUCUCACAAAUACCUCACCCCUACGAUAUUAAGCUUAUACUAUCUAAAGUAAAAAACCCACAAAAAGGAAUACACCAGGAGACUUCAUAUAUAAUAAUAUUGCUUCCGUGCAACUGCUGCAAAACUCUUAAAGGUGGGCACCACAUGGAUUGCAUUUUGUGACAAGCUAUUGAAUCUCUUCAAAAUAUUGAAUAUAUUAGAAUGUGUAUACCUCCUUUUUUGGUUUUCUUUACAACAUUUCCCUACUAUCCAUUGUUCAUUUUGAAGCAGCUUGUUUAUAUUAGUUACAUGACUCAGUC